GAUUCCUUAACUUAAUAGGUUAAAGUAUACUUUUAAGAGUAGGAUUAGCGUUCAAUUCGCUAAGGAAUCA
rnacentral:tRNA from 1 species